rnacentral:rRNA from 1 species
GAUGAACGCUGGCGGCGUGCCUAAUACAUGCAAGUCGAACGGACGGACGAGAAGCUUGGUACUCUGAUGUUAGCGGCGGAAGGGGGAGUAACACAUGGGUAACCUCCCUAUUAGACUGGGAGAAAUUCGGGAAACAGGGGCUAAUAUCGGAUAAUAUUAUUAACCGCCUGGUUCAAAGGUGGAAGACGGUCUUGCUGGCACUUAUAGAUGGAUCCGCGCUGCAUUAGCGAGUUGGUAAGGUAACGGCUUACCAAGGCAACGAUGCAUAGCCGACCUGAGAGGGUGAUCGGCCACACUGGAACUGAGACACGGUCCAGACUCCUACGGGAGGCAGCAGUAGGGAAUCGUCCGCGAUGGGCCAAAGCCUGACGGAGCAACGCGGCGUGAGUGAUGAAGGGCUUCGGAUCCUAAAACUCUGUUAUUAGGGAAGACCAUAUGUGUAAGUAACUGGGCACAUCUUGACGGUACCUAAUCAGAAAGCCACGGCUAACUACGUG